GAUGAAGAACGUAGUGAAAUGCGAUAAGUAGUGUGAAUUGCAGAAUUCAGUGAAUCAUCGAAUCUUUGAACGCACAUUGCGCCCUUUGGUAUUCCUUAGGGCAUGCCUGUUCGAGCGCCAUUUAAACCUUCAAGCUCAGCUUGGUGUUGGGUGACUGUCCGCUUCACCGCGGACUCGCCUCAAAAUUAUUGGCGGCCGGUACAUUGGCUUCGAGCGCAGCAGAAACGCGAACUCGGGCCCGUCGUAUUGGCUCCCAGAAGCUAUCUUCACAAUUUUGACCUCGGAUCAGGUAGGGAUACCCGCUGAACUUAAGCAUAUCAAUAAGCGGAGGA
rnacentral:misc_RNA from 1 species